CGAAAGUUAGCGGGUUUAUUCUAAAAAUUUAGGAAUUUAGGCGGGCUUGCGAAAAAAUUUAAAGCGGGAUAUUUUUCCCGGCUGGACUUAAUGAAUAACUCAAAAAAUAGGAAACUCAGACAAACUCACACCACACAAACUCGCACAAACUCAAAACCCAAAUUUAUAGUACUCAAAACACAAAUUUGCAGAUUGACACACUCAAACUCAAAACAUGAAUCACACUCAAAACUUGAAGAUUGAAGAUAAAAGAAACUCGAAGAAGUCGGAGUACUCGAAGCUCGAAUUCAAAACUCAAAGAAGGUAAUUAGUUUGUUCUUCCCCCGAAAUAUUGUUUGGUCUUUAUUCUCUAUGCUUAUUUGUUCUUAUUUGUUCUUUGUUCUAAAUUGAAGAUUUUCAUUUUCUGAAAAUUAGGGUUCCUCAUUUUUUUUGUUUAAUUUGGGGGUUUUUCCCCUGAUUUUGGGGUUUUUUUCGGGUAAUCAAUUUGGGGGUUUGAUUUGUUGGGU
rnacentral:lncRNA from 1 species